rnacentral:rRNA from 1 species
CCUACGGGAGGCAGCAGUGGGGAAUAUUGCACAAUGGGGGGAACCUUGAUGCAGCAACGCCGCGUGGGUGAAGAAGUACUCCGGUAUGUAAAGCCCUGUCAGCAGGGAAGAAAAUGACGGUACCUGACCAAGAAGCCCCGGCUAACGACGUGCCAGCAGCCGCGGUAAUACGUAGGGGGCAAGCGUUAUCCGGAUUUACUGGGUGUAAAGGGAGCGUAGACGGCAAGGAAAGUCUGGAGUGAAAGCCCGUGGCCCAACCACGGGACUGCUUUGGAAACUGUGUUGCUGGAGUGCAGGAGGGGUAAGCGGAAUUCCUAGUGUAGCGGUGAAAUGCGUAGAUAUUGGGUAGAACACCGGUGGCGAAGGCGGCUAUCUGGCCAUUUACUGACGCUGAGGCUCGAAAGCAUGGGGAUCAAACAGGAUUAGAUACCCCAGUAGUC